CUGGAGGUGAAAUAGAAGACACCAUUUAACUUACUCAGGCAUCUCUGGAGUGUUUCUCUUCAAGUACCCCAUAGUAGCCUGGAACUUUUAUAGAUAUUGGAAUGGUCUUCCUUCUCUUGCCUCUCCAGUGUUGGGAGUAAAGGCAUGAACUUCUACACCUUGCUGGGUUGUCUUUGAAAGUGAAAUGAACAGACCACUGAGAGGGUAAAUCUACCUCUGGAAAGUGGUCCAGGAGUGAAAAAGAAAGCAGGCUGAGCAAGCCAUGAGGAACAAGCCAGUAAGCAUCACUCACUCGCCCAUGGCCUCUGCCUCAGCUGCCUCCAGUUCCUUCCUUGAGCUGCUGCCCUCACUUCCCUCAGAGAUGAACUGUGACCUGAAAGUGUAACCCGUCUCUAAAAUGGAUUGUGUUCUAGGCCACUAUGGAGAGCGCCAUCAGUGGGCUCAGCAACUAGGAUGUCCACAGAACAUUUGUCUUGUGAGUAGUCUCGGUUAAUUCACACAAAUACU